UACGUAGGGGGCGAGCGUUGUCCGGAAUUACUGGGCGUAAAGGGCGCGUAGGCGGUGUGUCAAGUCAGGCGUGAAAGCCCCGGGCUCAACCUGGGAACCGCGCUUGAGACUGGCACGCUAGAGUUCGGGAGAGGAUGGUGGAAUUCCCAGUGUAGAGGUGAAAUUCGUAGAUAUUGGGAAGAACACCGAUGGCGAAGGCAGCCAUCUGGACCGACACUGACGCUGAGGCGCGAAAGCGUGGGGAGCAAACAGG
rnacentral:rRNA from 1 species